GAUGAACGCUAGCGGCAGGCCUAAUACAUGCAAGUCGAACGGAUAUAUGUUUUUCGGAAUAUAUAUUAGUGGCGCACGGGUGAGUAACACGUACAUAACUUGCCCUCAAGCGGGGGAUAGCCUUGGGAAACUGAGAGUAAUACCCCAUAGAAUUAUUGGACGGCAUCGUUUGAUAAUUAAAACUACGGUGUUUGGGGAUAGAUGUGCGUCUGAUUAGCUAGUUGGUGAGGUAACUGCUCACCAAGGCGACGAUCAGUAGGGGGCGUGAGAGCGUGGCCCCCCACACGGGUACUGAGACACGGACCCGACUCCUACGGGAGGCAGCAGUAAGGAAUAUUGGUCAAUGGAGGGAACUCUGAACCAGCCAUGCCGCGUGAAGGAUGACGGCCCUCUGGGUUGUAAACUUCUUUUGGAUGGGGCGAAAAAACGGGAUUUAUCCUGGACUGACGGUACCAUCAGAAUAAGCACCGGCUAACUCCGUGCCAGCAGCCGCGGUAAAGUAGUCGUG
rnacentral:rRNA from 1 species